GGGCCCGCACAAGCGGUGGAGCAUGUGGUUUAAUUCGAUGAUACGCGAGGAACCUUACCAGGGCUUAAAUGGAAAAUGACAGGGGCAGAGACGCCCCCUUCUUCGGACAUUUUUCAAGGUGCUGCAUGGUUGUCGUCAGCUCGUGCCGUGAGGUGUCAGGUUAAGUCCUAUAACGAGCGCAACCCCUACCGUUAGUUGCCAGCGAGUAAUGUCGGGGACUCUAACGGAACUGCCGGUGCAAACCGUGAGGAAGGUGGGGACGACGUCAAAUCAUCACGGCCCUUACGUCCUGGGCCACACACGUGCUACAAUGGUAGGUACAGAGAGCAGCCACUACGCGAGUAGGAGCGAAUCUACAAAACCGGUCUCAGUUCGGAUCGCAGUCUGCAACUCGACUGCGUG
rnacentral:rRNA from 1 species